rnacentral:rRNA from 1 species
AUUGAACGCUGGCGGCAGGCUUAACACAUGCAAGUCGAGCGAGCGGCGGACGGGUGAGUAAUGUCUGGGAAACUGCCUGAUGGAGGGGGAUAACUACUGGAAACGGUAGCUAAUACCGCAUACCAUCAGAUGUGCCCAGAUGGGAUUAGAUAGUUGUGGGGGUAAUGGAUCACCUAGGCGACGAUCCCUAGCUGGUCUGAGAGGAUGACCAGCCACACUGGAACUGAGACACUGUCCAGACUCCUACGGUAGGCAGCAGGGGGGAAUAUUGCACAAUGGGCGCAAGCCUGAUGCAGCCAUGCCGCGUGUGUGAAGAAGGCCUUCGGGUUGUAAAGCACUUUCAGCGAGGAGGCGUUACUCGCAGAAGAAGCACCGGCUAACUCCGUGCCAGCCGCCGCGGUAAUUC